GUGCCGGCAUUAGGUCCCCACCUGGCGGCCGGGAUGGCACCUUGGGACCUGAGCCUCAGGAGAGGCUGGCUGGGAGGCGCAGGGAGCACGAUCAGGUUUAGAUGGUACAGAAGGGGAAACUAAGUCUCAGAGAAGGAAAGAAAGAAGCCGCCGUUUUUAGAGAACACAUUAUCAUGUACUUGGUGUUUUACAUCCGUCAUCUCAUUAACUCUUCAAAUGGAAUCCUCCUAGUUCAUGAAAGGGAAACGCUAUCAAAGGGCUUCAAACCUAGACCUCAGGAUUAGCAUUCCAGGAUUCUUCACCACAGCUGCCACCAGGACUGGCUGCUCCAGAGGAUUGAAAAACAGGCUCAGAGAAGGAGAAGAGAUUGCCUAUGGUCACAUGAUGACUCCAUGAUUGAAUUGAGAUUUGAACUUCUGUCUUCUAAGUUUCUGCCUUGGACACUCAAAAGUAACAGACUUUGAAUUACCUUUUGAAAAGAUCCAUUUUUUCAUGUGUAAAAUGGGAGAUGAUGUCCUUUGUGUAAAGGGUCCUUAGGAGAAUUCAGUGGAAUGGCACGUGCAGAGUUCUGGUACAUUGACUCAUGAAAUACCCGUUUGUUGGUUAUGACCACCCCACUUGAAGGCAGAAAGAUCACUAGAGGGAGGCAGCUUGCCCUGCAUCUUGGUUUGGAGGGCUCUAAACAUCCUGCCCUCCUAGCUUCAUCCAAUCUCUGAAGAAAAAAAUCUGGACAUUGGCUAUGUGCUGGAGGAGCCUGAACUGUCUCUGUUUUCAAGACAUGCAAUUCUGGGAUCAGACGGUCUCCUAGAACCAGCUUCAGUACUGACCCUAAGGAAAUCUGUGAAGUCAGAGUGAGCAUUCGAUUUUGAGCCCUGGAUUCCAGACUCUUCCCUGACACUGACUCACCCUUGACCUUGAAAGAAUCAAGCAACUUUCUGGACCUCAGUUUCCUCAUCUGGAAAAUAAGGUGAGCCUGAUCUGCUCGGAACAAGACAAGUGAUUAAAAGUGCAAUUGUGCUGGACACACACGCUGCAUUCCUAGGGAGAGCCCAAAGGGCAUGUGAUGGCCCAGGGUGGGGUGGGCUUGGCCUGCCUGGGGUUGCUGACUUGGGUGAUGGGUAAUAGGGGCCGUUUGUCCAAUGGGCAAAAAGCCUGCUUCAAACCCUCUCCUGCUUAAAUUUUGAACAACAGGGAAGCUCACUGCCUCCAAGAGCCCCUUGCAAUGGCAAACUGGAGUUGUUUGCCUCGGGGCAAGACCUUUGAGGGAGAUGGGAAAUCAGUGUCUAUGUCCAAGUCAGCCU